CCUACGGGAGGCAGCAGUAAGGAAUAUUGGUCAAUGGGCGCAAGCCUGAACCAGCCAUGCCGCGUGCAGGAAGACGGCCCUAUGGGUUGUAAACUGCUUUUGAACAAGAGAAAACCUCGGUACGUGUACCGAGCUGAUAGUAUUGUUAGAAUAAGCAUCGGCUAACUUCGUGCCAGCAGCCGCGGUAAGACGAAGGAUGCAAGCGUUAUCCGGAUUCAUUGGGUUUAAAGGGUGCGUAGGCGGCCUGAUAAGUCAGUGGUGAAAUCUCUCAGCUUAACUGAGAAACUGCCAUUGAUACUGUCGGGCUUGAGUACAGAUGAUGUGGGCGGAAUAUGACAUGUAGUGGUGAAAUACUUAGAUAUGUCAUAGAACACCGAUUGCGAAGGCAGCUCACAAAACUGUAACUGACGCUGAGGCACGAAAGUGCGGGGAUCAAACAGGAUUAGAUACCCUGGUAGUCCGCACCGUAAACGAUGAUUACUCGUUGUUGGCAAUAUGACCGUCAGCGACCAAGCGAAAGCGAUAAGUAAUCCACCUGGGGAGUACGCCGGCAACGGUGAAACUCAAAGGAAUUGACGGCGNGAGGAGNGCGAGGACGACGACGAGGGGAGAGG
rnacentral:rRNA from 1 species